AAAUAUCCAUGUCUGGAAUUACAUCACACCAAUCAUCGCCAUGCUCACACGGGGAUUAUUACAUGGGAACGAGGAAGGCUAGCUUUAGAGCGAGAGGCCACCGGACUCCUCGUCCUCGUCGAGGCCAGAGGUGUAGACAGUGUAGAGGGACCAGAUGAGGCCGAAGACACCCAGGAGGAUCCACCCCAGCAGGUUGUUGCUCAGGCCGAGGCUCAGCCCGGUGCCCUCCGUGGACAUCCGGUCGUCCACGAGCGCCAGCGCCGGCGCCGCGGACGCGGUCACCGCGCCCGCCGCCGCGAGCAGGGACGCGCCGGCGCCGCGCACGCUGGUGGUCGGGGUCGCCUCCUUGGCGUCCUUGGAGUAGCUGCACCUCACCCUCUCGCUCCUCGCCCUCAGCUGUGGCAGCCCUGCAUGAUCAAUUGACAGUGUUUUUCUUUACUUCUUUAUGCUCCCAGCUCAGCCAUUGCGCAUCGGCGUCCGUGCAAAUGAAACACAGUUGUUACUCUGUGAAAGGCACGUACCUAG
rnacentral:lncRNA from 1 species